UACGUAGGGGGCAAGCGUUGUCCGGAAUUAUUGGGCGUAAAGAGCUCGUAGGCGGUUUGUUGCGUCGGCUGUGAAAUCCCGAGGCUCAACCUCGGGUCUGCAGUCGAUACGAGCAAACUAGAGUGUUGCAGGGGAGACUGGAAUCCUGGUGUAGCGGUGAAAUGCGCCAGAUAUCAGGAGGAACACCGGUGGCGAAGGCGGGUCUCUGGGCAACAACUGACGC
rnacentral:rRNA from 1 species